UUUCCGGUCAACAUGGCGGAUUACGAGAGUGUGCUAUGUGUCAAAAACACAGUUCAUGUAUACAAAAUACCACCCCGGCCUUCAAACAGAGGGUAUAGGGCAGCUGAUUGGAAGCUUGAUGAACCAGACUGGACAGGAAGACUCCGGAUUGUGUCCAAAGGAAAAGAACUGUAUAUUAAACUUGAAGAUAAAACUUCAGGUGACCUGUUUGCACAGUGCCCAGUAGAACAGUACCCAGGUAUAGCUGUGGAAUCAGUUACAGAUUCUAGUCGAUAUUUUGUUCUACGAAUCAAAGAUGAUGGAGGUCGAUCAGCAUUCAUUGGAAUCGGGUUUGAAGAUCGAGGGGAUUCUUUUGACCUUAACGUAUCGUUACAAGAUCAUUUCAAGUGGUUAAAAACGGAGGAGGAGGCCAAGUCAGCAUCCACACAGUUUGAUAAGGGACCAAAGCUUGACCUGGGCUUCAAGGAGGGACAGACGAUCAAGAUCAAUAUUGGGACAAAAAGGUCAGAUUCAUCAAAUACCAAAGCUAGACCAAGAGGAAAUGCAGGAGGAGGGAUAGGGAUUUUGCCGCCGCCACCAGGGGGAGUGAAACUCCCAGCACCACCAGGGGGCGGUAUACAGCCGCCCCAGCCAUCAUUUGUUGGUGCUCCAGUACCUACACAGCCACAAGCAGCACCAGUGGCACAAAAUAACAGCUCGAGUGCUUCUAGUAACAUUGACUUCCUGUUCGAUUUGGGACCAAGAAAUAACGAUUCUGCUCCACUUCAGCCUCAGGCGGUGCAGAGUAGUUCUGACCCCUGGGGGGACUUUGCUAGUGCUGGGUCAGCCGAAGACAACAGCUGGGUCCAGUUCUAGUGACCUAUCAGACAAUUUAAUGUAACGUAGUGCUGAGAUUAGGAUUAGUUUACAUGUACCGGCUGUUCAUCCACCAUCAUCGUCAUCUCCACGACACUUAUACUCAUCAACAUUUGACCUCAUUAAUCAGGUCAUGAUGAUCUUUGACCUUUGACCUGAAAUAAAAUGAACAGGAUAUGUGGUGUUUGUGACCUUUGACCUGAAAUAAAAUGAACAGGAUAUGUGGUGUUUGACCUAUGAAUACAUUUUAACAGUAUAUUCAAAUUAAAUUGUUAUUUUGAUUUACUGAAAAGAAAAUGUCUGUCAAUGUUGGAGCAUUAAACUGUAUUUAUGUACAAAAUGAUAUAUUUACAAUCAUCAUUACUUGGCCAUAUACCGUUAUAUAUAAAGGUCGUAAUAUUUUGAAGGUCAUUGACACUCUGAGGAUAUUUACAUUGUGAAGGUCACCAUUACAGUAUAAAUAUCAUUACAUUAGGAGUCAUCACAGUGUAAAAAUCCUCACAUGUUGAAGGUCAUUCUUUCUGAAGGGCCGAUCCUCACAUGUUGAAGGUCGUUCUUUCUAAAGGGCAUUCCUCUGUGAAGGACAUAACAUUGUGGCAAUACUCUCUGGUUAUUUUAAUACAUUGUAACUAUGAACCUCAGAGACAAUUGACCUUGAUAUAAUGUCAAGGUCAAAUGUAUAUUUGUGGAGCCUCAUAAGUUCGUACAAAUUGGCAAGGAAACAUUUUUGUAGAAUUUCAAUCAUACGGUCCUUUAAUUAAAUGUCUCCUUGACCAGUGUUGGUCAAAACUUCUCCCUGACCAAUGUUGUUGGUCAAAACUUCUCCCUGACCAGUGUUGUGUUACCUGCGAAUCAAAGGUGAGAUAUAGAGAUCACUGUGUUGUCAUCAGCUUCAUCUACAGAAAUGGUGUGAUAAAUCUCAAAGAAACACUUUGAUUUUCAUGAUACUUCCUAUACGUAGUUUUAUUUUGACCAAAGUCUGAAAAUCAACAUGGCCGACAGCAGAGUCGGGCCACACAUCUGUUUCCAUGGGGAGUUCUUGUUGUGUGGUAUUAUUGUUGAUAGCCAGACUAAGGAAUAGAUGAUCCAGACCAAAAUAUCUAUGUUAUGAUUUGUCGGUUGUGUUAUAUAGAUUAUUUCAUAGAGGUGCAUCAUCGUUGAAAAAACAGGGGCCUGCAUCUGUAAAAUAUGCAAAAUAUCACAAUGGGAAAGGGUUUAUUAAGACCAAAAUAGUGUUCUAGUAAAUAUUCGUAAAAAGUUACGCAAGUUCUAGUAUAAGGAGAGAGUACUGUGUAUCAGGCGUUUUAUUCUUUGAUGCAAAGUUUUUGAAUAUGUUUAAAAUCAAAUUUAUGUACCACAUGACAUGUAUUUCAAUUUUCAAUUUUCACAUGUUUAUGUCUACGGUAACGUUAUUAUGUGACUGUGUGGUAUUUUUCAUUAUUUGGUCAAAAGUUUGUGUGCUACUUUUUGCAAUUUCACAAAAUCAAAAACAAAAAAAUAAAAUUUGCUUAUAAAGAUUAAGAUGCUUUUUGCAAAAAAUGCUUGAUAUACAAUAUUUUCUGUUUGAACAACUUGGAUUGGUGUAAUUUUACUUGACAGUUUCCAGAGUGUUUUAUUCCUACCUCAAUGAGGAAAUUCCGUAAAUAUUACUGAGACAGUGCUGGCCCUGAUCACAAUUCAUUGAAAUUACCCAGAAUAUAAUAAAAUCCCCCUGUGUGUUAUGUGUUGUUGUUUAUAAAUAAAUUGAAUGAAGAAAUAAUUAAACUCUGAUAAAUUUAGUAUUGUAAAUAUAUAUAUAAUGUAUAGAAAUAUGUGUAAGGCUAGGUGUCUCAUAGUAACAUUACAUAAGACUGUAUAGACAUUAAUGAUACUGCUCUCAUUUACAUUUAUGCGUGUGUGCGUGUGCAUGUGGCAAUGUGUGUGAGCAUAUGUGCAUGCAUGUUUGUGUACGUGUAUGAAGUGUCAAGGGCGGUAGAUCAGAUGCACAUUCAUUGCUCAUUCAUCUUUAUAGAAUAUUUAAACUAUAGUGUUAAUUCCAAACAGUGUUGUGGUGUCCGUGUAAUGUGUAGCUAUAUAGUGUAUGGUGGGUGACUACCCCCAAAGGUUUAUAGAAAGCAUAAUGUUCCAGUCUCUGCUGCUUCAAACUUCAUUAGCCUAGAAAAUCAUUAUGAAGACUAUGAAACCAUGAUAUAACAAGUUACAAUAAAAGAUCAAUGAUAUCGUUAUUGUUACUUGUAACACUGAGAAGGAAGCAACCAGGCUUAAGAUUAAAAAAGAGUCGCCUCAAAAUACAUUUCCAAAGUAAAAGUCACAAAAUUUGAUAAAUAGUGUUAUUAGGUAAUGAAGUUUUGGGUGGAUAAGAUCUAAUUAGAUGUGAUUUAUAAAAACAGGAGCUUUAUAAGUUUAGACAGGUGUUUGUAGAAACUACAGAGAAAAUAGAAAUAUUUGAGAUAGAGUGAAGGUUUAAUUGUGAGACUGUAGAUAGGUAAAUGAGAGUUUUGAUUAGAUAUCGGGGAGAGGGAUUUUGAUUGAAUACUUGUAUUAGAGAUUUUAAUUGGAUAUUUGGGAGAGCGUUUCAAUUGGAUAUUUGGGGAGAAGAGAGUUUUGAUUGGGCAUUUGGGAGAGUGAUUUGAUUGGAUAUUUGGGAGGAGAGUGAUUUGAUUGGAUAAUUGGAGAGGAAAGAGUUUUGAUUGGAUAUUUGGAGAGGGAUUUAAUUGGAUAUUUGGGAGAGAGUUUUGAGGUUUGUUUCUGUGAGGUUGUGCAUUAUAUGUCUAUUGAAUUUUAUUUCUUUUGUAAAUUCUUUGAAAUGUGUACAGUUUCAUUUUCAAAUAAAAAGAAAUAUAUGUACUAGAUUUCAUUUUAAGAGAUUUGUUAAUUUAAUUGCUGUAUAUUAGACAUAAACAGAUGAGUUUAUGACUAAUUUAUCAGGUAUAAAGGUACAGCUAUUUGUUGCGUAUUUUUCCUGCUGAAAGUGACAUUUGAUUUGAUCUCAACUCUUCAAAAGUCAUUAAAGCCAUAUUAAUAUGGACUCUUAUUGUAUAAUUUACAAGAUUGAAGGUUUUUAAUUGUUGGAACCAUAUAUAACAGCUGUGUGCCAUCAGGGAUAAAUAAAACUUUUUUUGUGAAUUUCAAAGUUGAUCACAGAAACAAAAUUUAAAUUUAAAUCUGUAUCAGUUUAAAUGGCUUCAUAAUACAUGUACAUUUGUAUUAACAAAACUUGAUCAAGGACUAUUUCUCUAUCAUAUGUCUUUGAUGCUACUUUUAAAACAUUUUUCUUUUUUCAUUAUCAGCCUUGAAAAUAAACUUAACUGUUAUGAAAGAAAAAUAAAUGAGGCUGUGUAUGUGAAUUAAAUCUGACCCCAAAAACGUACCUGUGCACUAUACCCAAGUGUGCACUAUACCCGCAAAUUUACGGUAGUUUUACAGUGUAAGAUUUUGGAAGGCGUUCAUGUGCACAUAGUAUUACCAAGUGGGCAUGAUCUGUUUUCCAGUAAUCCGUGGUUGCUAAUGAAAUACGUGUCACAUCGCUGAAACAUUUUAUUUGCUAAAUUGCUUUUAAUGCUGGUACGUUUCGAUGCUACACACAUUGCUAUAUGCCGUUCAUUACCUGAAUUGUAAAGAAUAUUUUGUAUAUAACGGGCCUGAAACAUACCAUACUUUUGACCAAAAUUUACUUGCUAAAACAGUAUUACUGCUCAACUUAUUGGCAGGUUUUACCCAUAUUCGCUGCAAGAUCCAAUUUCUAUGAUCAUCCACCGUAAAAUUUGUUUUAUUUACUGAUUUGUUUUAUUUACUGAGCAAGAGCUAGUUCCUUGAUAAAUUCAGUUCCCUUCAGAAAAUGUAUAGCAAUACCUGACAAUGAGGCCAAACGGAUAAAUAUGUAUGUUUCAUGUAUCUUGACCUACCCUAAUUUGCUGCCGACCCUAGAAAAUGUAUCCCCUACCUGUCUCUAAGAUUUAUUAAUUACCCAGCUCACAGCCACUUCUCCAAAUGCACUUUCUUCCUGUUCUGGGAGUCUGACCCUAAUAGCCAUUGUAAUGUGUGGAAAGGAUUUAUAAAAUUUGAUAUAAAGCAUAGUAUUGCUCCAUAAAAAUGAAAAAUUUAAAGUAAAAUAAAAUUAUUUGCCAACUGACCUACCCUAUUCAUUUUCAGGUGUGUAACCUGAAAGACAUGUUUUUGGCCUGAUACAUUUAGUUUUUGUAACAUUUUUUGCAUUUUUUUUUCUUUCUUAAUAUGACAUUGUGUAUUAGCAAAAACAAACUGUAUGAUCAAUACAUAACUUUGCAAAACAAGAUAUCCCAAUACUAAGUAAAUAGAUUCUGAAAAUAAUGACGCAAUAAUUUUUACAUUUUACAUGAAAAUUUGCCCAGAUUUUAUGUUCAAAAUUGAGCACAGUGUAUAUAACCACGGACUUAGAUAGUAAUCUAAUUCCGUGAUAUAACAUUCAAGUUUUAUGUUGAUAUUUUAUUCCUUUUGUAUAUUAUUUUUACCCUUUCACCACUGUAGACCAUAAUUAACUCAUCCAGAUCAAUGCAUGGUAGAGUCUACUAAAGUUACAUAGGGGUGAAAGCGUCAAGUUCAUCUCUUUACUGAUGCAAUAGUGUUCUUAUAAAGUAUGUAUCAGGUCAUUGUGACUUUAUUUGAAAAAAAUUGUAUCUACUAUAUACAAUUUAUUUAAAGGAGUUGUGACAUUUAUCUGCAAUGGGAAGCUAUGCAUUAGCUGCUAAUUUGAUAUGACUGAGAUUUGAGAGAGAGAAAGAGAGAGAGAGAGAGAUGAAUACCUGUUAAUAUAUUGAACAUACCUGUACGUAUUGUGAAUAAAAGAUAAUCAUUCCAA
rnacentral:misc_RNA from 1 species